rnacentral:tRNA from 1 species
GCGGCCAUAGCUCAGUUGGAUAGAGCGUGGGCUUGCGGAGCCCAAGAUCGGAGGUUCGAAUCCUCCUGGCCGCA